AAAUAUAUAGAAUAAUGAAAACGUCACUGGCACAGACUGAGAAAUCAAACAGCACAAAAAGAUACACGACAGACACUGAGUCCUUCACCAAAUGCAGAUCCCCAGGCCCAGCAACCCCGUGACCGAGUUUCUUGGGCGUCAUUCCAGAAAUGUUUCAGAUUAACCCUGAGCUAACAUCUGCCGCCAAUCCUCCUUUUUUUGCUGAUGAAGCCUGGCCAUGAGCCAACAUCUGUGCCCAUCUUCCUCUACUUUAUAUGUGGGACGCCUACCAUAGCAUGGCUUGAUAAGCAGUGCCAUGUCCGCACCCAGGAUCCGAACCUUUGAACCCUGGGCCGAAGAAGUGGAACGUGUGCCCCCAACCGCUGUGCCACCAGGCCAGCCCCUCUGCCUAUUCCUUUUAAUGGCUGAACAGUAUUCCAUUGUGUGAAUAUAGUGCAAUUAAUUUAAUCACCCCAUUGUUGAUGGACAUUUAUGCUGCGGGGGAUUUUAAAAUCAUUCUUGGGUCAGCUGGCCUCUGUGCUGUUUCUGUGUCAGCCAUUGAAGUCUGCAGAGAAAAUACAAACUAAUUAUAUCUGCUGGACCGAGGGAAAUUAAAAAUGAAAAGCCAAUUGCAAACUCUUCUCACUUUUCAGCAUCUCCACGUAAAACAUUCCGAAGUCAGAAAUACAAUUUUUGCUCUACACCACUUUCAAUUAUGCGAGUCACAGUUUCCUUCUCUUGCUGGGGUUUUUGACUCACAGAAGAACAUCCCCCGGGUAUGGCAGGAACGGGAAACAGCACAGACCUUAGGCUGCCUGGGUUGGAAUCUCAGCUUCAUGCUUCGUAGCUGUGUGGACUUGGCAAAGUUACUUAACCCCACUGUGCCUCAUUUUCUCAUCUGUAAAAUGUGGAUAAUAA
rnacentral:lncRNA from 1 species